AUUGAACGCUGGCGGCAGGCCUAACACAUGCAAGUCGAGCGGAUGAAGGGAGCUUGCUCCUGGAUUCAGCGGCGGACGGGUGAGUAAUGCCUAGGAAUCUUCCUGGUAGUGGGGGAUAACGUCCGGAAACGGGCGCUAAUACCGCAUACGUCCUGAGGGAGAAAGUGGGGGAUCUUCGGACCUCACGCUAUUAUAUGAGCCUAGGUCGGAUUAGCUAGUUGGUGGGGUAAAGGCCUACCAAGGCGACGAUCCGUAACUGGUCUGAGAGGAUGAUCAGUCACACUGGAACUGAGACACGGUCCAGACUCCUACGGGAAGCAGCAGUGGGGAAUAUUGGACAAUGGGCGAAAGCCUGAUCCAGCCAUGCCGCGCGUGUGAAGAAGGUCUUCGGAUUGUAAAGCACUUUAAGUUGGGAGGAAGGGCAGUAAGUUAAUACCUUGCUGUUUUGACGUUACCAACAGAAUAAGCACCGGCUAACUUCGUG
rnacentral:rRNA from 1 species